AUACGGAGGGGGUUAGCGUUGUUCGGAAUUACUGGGCGUAAAGCGUACGUAGGCGGAUCGGAAAGUAAGGGGUGAAAUCCCAGGGCUCAACCCUGGAACUGCCUCUUAAACUCCCGGUCUCGAGUUCGAGAGAGGUGAGUGGAAUUCCUAGUGUAGAGGUGAAAUUCGUAGAUAUUAGGAGGAACACCAGUGGCGAAGGCGGCUCACUGGCUCGAUACUGACGCUGAGGUACGAAAGUGUGGGGAGCAAACAGGAUUAGAAACCCUAGUAGUCC
rnacentral:rRNA from 1 species